rnacentral:rRNA from 1 species
UACGUAGGGUGCAGGCGUUAAUCGGCAUUACUGGGCGUAAAGCGUGCGUAGGCGGUUUGUUAAGACAGGUGUGAAAUCCCCGGGCUUAACCUGGGAACUGCGCUUGUUACUGGCAGACUUGAGUGUGGCAGAGGGGGGUGGAAUUCCACGUGUAGCAGUGAAAUGCGUAGAGAUGUGGAGGAACACCGAUGGCGAAGGCAGCCCCCUGGGCUAACACUGACGCUGAUGCACGAAAGCGUGGGGAGCAAACAGG